rnacentral:lncRNA from 1 species
CGAACUUCUAAACUUCGUUGGACUGUUCUAGAAUCUACAUUUUAAAAUUACAAAAGUUCUUUUCUAGACACUUUCAAAUUUAAUUCCCGCAAAUGUCUGUGUUGUUUCUUUUAUGAGAUAUUGCGGUAUCGUAGUUUCGCCUCCCUAAAGCUGGUAUUCGAUGAUACAAAAAUUAGUGCGGAAUAAACUUUUACAUUAUAGUUCUUAUAUUUCCUGGUCCUAACUUUAAAUGUCCUUUACACUGGCCAAUGUUGUUAUAUCCUCCUCUUACACAGAAGCUCGCUAUCUUAGGAGGUAUCUCCAAGAUAGAUUUUCUCGGGGUGUCUAUUUGUUUAUCAUUAACCACUCGGGCUUCUCUCUGCCCUUUGAAAAUCUGGAUAUUUUCCGCUGUGUACAGUUCUUCCAGGUUAUGUAUUGUUUUAAUUAUUUUUCCUUCUUCCCAUUUGACAUUGAUGUUCCUCAUAUGUUUUUCUGGCUAGCACUGUAUUUAGAUUA